ACAAGCGGUGGAGCAUGUGGUUAAUUCGAUGAUACGCGAGGAACCUUACCUGGGCUCAAAUGUAUGUUGACGUAUUCUGAAAGGGAUACUUCUUCGGACAAUAUACAAGGUGCUGCAUGGUUGUCGUCAGCUCGUGCCGUGAGGUGUCGGGUUAAGUCCCAUAACGAGCGCAACCCCUACCUUUAGUUGCCAUCAGGUUAAGCUGGGGACUCUAAAGGAACUGCCUACGCAAGUAGUGAGGAAGGCGGGGAUGACGUCAAAUCAGCACGGCCCUUACGUCCAGGGCUACACACGUGCUACAAUGGCCGAUACAGAGGGCAGCUACCUGGUGACAGGAUGCAAAUCUCCAAAGUCGGUCUCAGUUCGGAUCGGAGUCUGCAACCCGACUCCGUGAAGUUGGAUUCGCUAGUAAUCGCGCAUCAGCCAUGGCGCGGUGAAUACGUUCCCGGGCCUU
rnacentral:rRNA from 1 species